UUCAUCUGAAGAGGGAAAGAGAGCACAUGUUAGGAAGCGGGGCACACCCAAACGAAGCAUAAACCAAAGUUUGACCAACCUCUUUUCCUCGUUUUGAAACGCUGGCCUGUUAGCGUUGGCUUUUGCUGCUUUUGAUUAUUCAUAAAAGACACCUUGAAAAAGAUGAGACUGGGUUUAAGAAGGCUGGAACGUGAGGGGAACCAAAUUUGUUUCCAGCUUGCAUGCGGCAUCUUCUGCUACCAGGUGGUUACAUUUGGAAGAGAGGAGCUGCUGGGAGUCAAUCACUGUUCCUCUAGCAAAGGUGCAGGGAUGGUCUUUUGUGGGUCCCCAUAAUAAUCUUGUGGGACUGAGGUGCUGACUGAUCCCACGGGGCCAGAAGCUUGUCGUCACCGUUCAUCUCGACGAUUUACGAUCACGCAUGCGUAUGCGUGUCAUUUGCAUGGGAGAUUGUGAAAUGUGCUCCCUGAAAAUAAAUAGAUUUGCAACGCUUAUAAAAUGUAAUAGACCACCGCCCCAUCUGCUCUUGAUAGUGCUACAAUUAAAUAUCGGUUGAAAAUAAAAAUCUUUAUCGUGGACUCAA